AGGAAAUUGUACUAAUAAACGAGCUAACGGGAUGAUUUAUUGUAAAAAAUAAAAUUCAAAUAGUUUUCUAUUUAUUGCAAUUUAAAAAAUAAUGAUAGCACUUAGCGAAACCGAAAUUUUUCUUGCCGGUUGCAUAAAUACGAAGCAAAAUAUGUCAAAAAUGACAGAACGAUGUUGUUGAUAUCUGUAUAAAGCAUUUGCAUCCCGCAUUUUUAUGGGCUUAUUGAUCAUCCAAAAACCUGCAAUUGUAAAUCGGCCAAUAAUUCAAUGGAGGUAUCUGAAAAGGCAAGUCAAAACAUAAUUCUUUAUAAGAGACAAACCACAAAGAAUCUAAUAGAUGAAAGCAAUCUUUCAGAAACCACCCAGUGGCAUCCGUUUGUCACAGAUACAUAAGAUCGUUUUUGCAGCAAAUCUGUACAAUCCAGCCAUACAGUAUUUGCUAAGCUUCCUAACGGGAACUAUUCCAGUUCCUCUGACAACAUUAAGUGGUUAUCUCGGUGCUAGUCCGGUAGAUAUGCCAUCCAUUUCUAGUCGGUAUGACACACAGGGGUUGUUAUCAGAGCUACCAUUAAUCAUGGGUCAGGUUUCCCAUGAAAAGACUACAGAUAUCAUCAAGCACUUGAAGGCGAAGUAAAAACCUACUCUUCCCCCACUUGUCCUCAACCCUAGUCUAUUAUCACAUGCUUCACUCUAGAAUUUCUCAUUUCCUUGCCGGUUUUAACCUAUUUUCCAUCUUCUAUCUAUCCGGCUUUUGAUGAAAUUUUAAUGCUAGAAAUCCGUGUUAUCCGACUUGUUAAAAUGUCCCUCAUCUCAUUGGUUUCUCCAC
rnacentral:lncRNA from 1 species